UUGUAACCUUUAGCAACUAAUCUAGCUUUGUGUGUGAACACAUUUUCAUGUUUGAUGGUUUUUAUCCUUAAAACAAACUUGCAACCAACACUAGAGGAAAAAUGCUUAUAAGUUGCUCAUCAAAAGUUGCCCUUAUUAAACAAGGGCAACCUUUAUAAACAAAAAAAUUAUAAAAAUAAAAAUAAAUUAAAAUCUCAACUUUCCCUCAAAACAAACGCAACCUUUAACCUAGGAUAAAAAAAAAAAAAAAGAACAAACACUGCUCUCCUUCAUUGCUCGAUCACACACUCGCUCCCUGCAACCAGACGAUGCCAUCUCCCUGCUGAGUGCUGACCGGCGAAGCCACCGGCGCUCUCAUCCUUCUCAGGUGACCGGCGAAACCACACUCACACACUCGCACCCUCUCUCCUCCUUCUCAGGCGAAACCACCAUCGGAACUCCGUCAUCCCCCACGCACCAGCCGUCUGCCGGCAUCAAAAGGGCUUUUCUUCAUUUCCGUUUCUCUCACCUCAAGUGAUGUAACAUCUACAGGAACUAGUGACCAAAGUGGUCUUGAUCGUGAUAAAGAUGGAGCCUAUGUAUGCGAUCCAUUAACUUGAAAAGCGAAAGGAUUUUAAUUGCAGAGUCUGAAACUGCUAUUGAGAAGGAAAAGUCAACUUUGGUAAAGAAGAAAUUAAGAAGAAGGAAAAUCAACUUGAAAACAUGUCUUUGAAGCUUGAGGAAAUGGAAAGCUUUGCUUUUGGAACUAACUGUAUAUUAAGUGAGCUGCGACAGCGGGUUAAAGACUUGGUUGACGAGACAUCUAGGCUAGAGCUGCGGAAAACGAGCAGGAACUUUCUCGUGUAAAGCGUGAUUUUGAGUCUCUGAAAUCAUAUGUCAGUAGUCUCAUCAGUGUAAGAGAAACACUCAUUUCGUAUGGGAAACAAUUCCAAACUAUUGAAAAGCUCUUUGAAAGAUGGAUUGUUCAUUUCUGAAUUGGCAGACCCGUAGUGACGCAAGAGAAUAACUAGACUUGUUACUAAACAUUUAUUAAGACUAAUUCUUCCUGGGUUUUACUGAUAAUAACCCUCGAAUGAUACACCUUCAUUGCUCGAUGAUAAAUCCCUGAUCUCAGUCAAAGCAAGAGAUUCAGCAGCCUUAGCAGCAUCCUCAAGCUUCUUGGCAACAACCCAUCUCAUUUCUAUCACUUUAAGGCUUGUUUUUGUCUGCUCUACAUCUGACAUUGCCUUCAGAACUUCUGAUCUAGCUGCUUCAGCUGUCUGCAUAAACUGAUCAGCCUCAAAAUUCAGCUCUCUAAGCUCUCUUGAGAUAGCUAAUGGGUUAAACGCUUCAUUCCUAACUUUCAUUUCAUGUCUACCUUCAUUGACAGCACUCGAAGGUUGCAGUUCAACUGAGGCUUUCUCCCUGUCCAUUUUUUGGUGAGAGCCUCAACAGACUGUUACAAUCACUACAAGAAAAUGACUAUUUAGCGACGGAUUUUUGUAACCGUACAAAUGUCGGUUGCUAAAUUACUACUGGUCAAGUGUCAGUCGCCACUUUGGUACGGAAGUAUUUUCGGUCCAUAUUUAGCUUCGGAUUAUCAUUCAGUCACAACAAUCUGUAACAAAUUACCUACCAAGCAUACGUUGGUCACUAAUUAUUUACUGAAAUAAUUUUAGUCACUAUUUAAUUACGCACAAAAUUUCAGUCACAAAUUUUAGUCACUAAAUAGUUACAGAAAUACUUUUUAGUCACUAUUUUGAUAUAGAACAAUUUCAAUCCCCAUAUAGCGACAGACACGAUUUCAGUCGCAAUACGUUAGUCACAAAACAAGGACUAGCUAAUUUUCUGUCACUUAUUAGUUACAGUUAAUGUUCUGUCACAAAUUCCAGUCGCAAUUUUAUUACCAACUAAAUUUCAGUCACUAAUUAAACAUUGAAUAACUUAUGGUCCCUAUUCCACUACGAAGAUAAUAUUGACUAUAAAUUUUUGAUUGAAAUAAGACAUGAGUGUGCUUGUACGUACUGUAGGCACAAAAAAUUUGUCCACGUGCCACGUUGGAUAUUAUUUGGGUCAAAAGUCAAAGUAUUGACUCGAAAAUCAUUUGACGAUUUAUUAAAUUAAUUGAUUUGGAUUCUCAUAUUAAUUUAGCCAAUUUUAGUUAUUUUAAUAAAACCCAGAUAUUUUUAAUGCUUAAACCUGACAAAAUAGGUUAAACUGCUAUAAACGGGUCAUGACUAUUAAGUCCGAUUCAAGAAGCCCAAAACACAUAAAACCCUAAAACCUCUUGCACUCUAUAAAUACAAGAUUUC